UUUUUUUUAUUGUUUUAUACAAUAAACAAUGUAUAUUCACUUUUACUACCAACCAAUCUUUACCAUUCAGUGAUAACAAGCACUUUAUUUUACAUUUUAAUAUUUUAUGAUGUAUUUAAAAGAGUAGUUAUUGUUGCAAACUCCAUUAGAAAUUUGAAUUGAUAUCAGUUUUGGAAAAAGGGAAACGGGGAUGUGAAAAAAAAAAUGGGG
rnacentral:lncRNA from 1 species